rfam:Mus musculus chromosome 5, GRC primary reference assembly.
GUGUCUUCCUUCUGUAGCACAUAAACUAAAAUUGAAAUGAUUCAAAGAUGACAUUGCCCCUGUGCAAGGAUGACAUCCAAAUUCAUAAAGAAUUCUGUAUUUUC